rnacentral:rRNA from 1 species
GUGGGGAAUAUUGCGCAAUGGGGGAAACCCUGACGCAGCGACGCCGCGUGAGCGAAGAAGGCCUUAGGGUUGUAAAGCUCUGUUUUAAGGGACGAAUGUCGUGGGGAGUAAUAUGCUCUGCGAAUGACGGUACCUUAAGAGGAAGCCCCGGCUAACUACGUGCCAGCAGCCGCGGUAAGACGUAGGGGGCGAGCGUUGUCCGGAAUUACUGGGCGUAAAGAGCACGUAGGCGGGAACUUAAGUCAGGUGUGAAAGACCGGGGCUCAACUCCGGGGUUGCACUUGAAACUGGGUUUCUUGAGGGCAGGAGAGGAAAGCAGAAUUCCUGGUGUAGCGGUGAAAUGCGUAGAAAUCAGGAGGAAUACCAGUGGCGAAGGCGGCUUUCUGGACUGACCCUGACGCUGAGGUGCGAAAGCGUGGGUAGCAAACAGGAUUAGAAACCCUUGUAGUCC